GUGGAAGCUGACAAAUUCUAAGAAAGUCAAUAAAGCGUUUUACUUGAGAGAAAUCUUUUUCCUCGUCAUUUGUAUCCCAGUAACCCAUACAACCUUCAAAGAAACUACGUGUGAGCUUAAUCAUGGAGAGCCCCUCAACAAGUUCAGCUUUAUUAGAGAACUUAAACAAUUCCUCAAGAAUGAAGAAUGGAACCUGAUUUUCAAGCAAAAUUAUGUCAUACCAUAGAUAAGAAAUCAUUUUGGGUUUGUAAAAUAUACGAUCAAUAUUGUUGCUUCGCAAUUGUGGACAAUGGUUUUUCAAUAAGAGCAUGAUGAUGAAUGUGGCAUCUAGCGACAUCAUUUUCACAAAUUUCUCACUCCCGUAUUCAAUGGUUUCUGCAUAACAAUUACUCAGUCUUCUUUCAUUUUUCUUUAUAUAUGUAAUAAGAUUCACCAAGCUUGAAUCGCUCCAUUGAAGAAAAUCAAGCAGAUACCUCCUUUUAUGCUCCUCCAUUGCUUUCAGCUUUUCCUUGCCAUGAUGAAGAGGGCCUGUUAGAUACUAAUUGAGGUGUAUACGACUCCUCAUAUAAUUUCCGUACUCUCUCUGGAGCUCGAUAGAUACAACACUCAUCAGAUAAAGGUUGCAAGAUUGCCAAAUCAUCGUUUAAAGACUUUGCUAUGUCUUUAACAUCAAGUUUAUCUUUGCUGUUCAUCUGCUCAUGAUUAGAUAUUACAAUUAA
rnacentral:misc_RNA from 1 species